ensembl:snRNA U6 U6 spliceosomal RNA
AUGCUCACUUCGGCAGCACAUAUACUAAAACUGGAACGAUACGGAGAAGAUUAGCAUGGCCCCUGUGCAAGGAUGACACGCAAAUUUGUGAAGCGUUCCAUAUUUUU